rnacentral:lncRNA from 1 species
GCAUCACGCCCGUAGUGUAUAUACUUUACACACCAGUGAUACACUUUUUCUUCGUUGUUACAGCACAUCGGAUAAACUAUUGGGGAUUUUGUCUGUUUGGCGCAGCGUUGGCAAACUUCCGCUUUCAUGUCAUAAUAAAUGCAAGGAUUGUUGUGUAUGUCCCAUUCUUGCCCCGGCCGUAAUGGCCACUCUGCGUUGAUACCACUGCUU